UGGGGAAUUUUCCGCAAUGGGCGCAAGCCUGACGGAGCAACGCCGCGUGUGGGAAGAAGGCUCUUGGGCUGUCAACCACUUUUCUCAGGGAAGAAGUCCUGACGGUACCUGAGGAAUCAGCCUCGGCUAACUCCGUGCCAGCAGCCGCGGUAAUACGGAGGAGGCAAGCGUUAUCCGGAAUUAUUGGGCGUAAAGCGUCCGCAGGGGGCGCAUCAAGUCUGCUGUUAAAGGUCGGAGCUCAACUCCGGUAGAGCAGUGGAAACUGGUGCGCUAGAGGGCGACAGGGGUAGAGGGAAUU
rnacentral:rRNA from 1 species